GGGCCUGUAGCUCAGUUGGUUAGAGCAGGGGACUCAUAAUCCCUUGGUCCCAGGUUCGAGUCCUGGUGGGCCCACCA
rnacentral:tRNA from 1 species